CCUGGUGGUCUAGUGGUUAGGAUUUGG
rnacentral:piRNA from 3 species